rnacentral:lncRNA from 1 species
AAUAUGAGAACCUCACAAAAAAAUCAAACAAUAUUAUUCAAAGACGAAAAAUCCGAAAUACAAAAUACUUGAUAAUUGUGAAAACAAAAUCACAAGACAUCUCACAAAAUACUUGUUGACUUCGAAUUUACCUUUAUCCAUGGUUGAAAAAUCUUUUGAAUUAAUUGUGAGAUUUCUUGAACAAAGUGUAGGAAAUUGGAAGAGUUGAUUUUCUUGAAUAAGGAAAGGCGAUAACAAUGGUGAAAAGGAAAGAGAGAGAAAUGAGCAAUUUGGGGUAAAACCUAGAAAGAGAGGUAAGUGGGUAAUGGGGGUAUAAUUAUUUUUAUUUUACGGAUGAGGGAGUAAAAAAGGGUCUAACUUGAGCAUGAUUUGAGAAAUAAAAGGAAAAGAAAUUAAUUAUAUUAGGAUACAAUUAAUCUUCUAAAAUAUUGACAUAUUGACAUUUUUAAUAAUUAUUUUUAAGUGUAGAUAUUUUUUAUAAUUAUAUUAGGGAUUAUGACUAGUUUGCUAAUUUUUCCUAUUUUGAUUAUUCUUUAGAUAUGACUUCUAUAAAUAGCUAUUUGUGAACUUCACCUCAUCAUAUAUGGCAAAUUAGGCACUUUCAGGACAACAAGGGUUACAACUUUCAAUUGACAAUUGGCACAAACAGCCGCAGACGUAUAAAAGUUAUAUUUUAUAAAUUUAUAAGAGAGAAAAAGUUGAUUUAUAUUUUCAAAUAAUUAUCCUACAUUAGCAAAAAUUGCUUUCAAAGCAAUGACUUGCCACCACACAAUGUUUUAUUUUAUAAGUUAUUUUUGUUCUCAUUUUGUUAUUAAUUAUCAAACUAGUUUUGAAUAUGUAGCAAGAGUUAAUGGGAAAUGGAGGGAAGAUGAAAAGAGAGGAACUUGAAAAGUUGGGAACUUGAAGAAUUGGAAACUUGAAAAGUCCUUUUAUGCUUUAGUGAAAAGGCAUUUCUCCCUCAUCGGUGGUGGAAAGAAAAAUAAAAGAGUUUAAAUAUAGAAACACUCCUAUUAAUUGUUAAAAGGGUUGGAAAGAGGGACCCCUUCGCACCGUCGUCGUCGUCGCUCGCUCGCUCGGCUUCGGCGACAAAGUUUGUUUAAAUUAUUUAUUUAAUUAAUUAAAUUAAAUUAAAUGGCCAAAACGUCAAAAUGUUUCAAUUAAUUAGUUAAUUAACCAAAAUGUUUCGGCUAUUCAGUUAAUUGACCGACCUGACUCGGAUCCGCGCGCGACCCAUUUUAUUUAAAUUCUUUUCCGUUUUAUUUAAAUUUCCCGCCGUUGGAAGUGACUGUUCUAAAAGGUUGCAACUUUCAUGAACAGUCAUGACCGUUUGAAAGGUUGCAAACUUUCGUGAAUGGUCGUGUGGAUUCUGAAAGGGUUGAUUCUUCAGAUUUAUUAAUUACGAUUUUUUCUGAUUUCUUCUUCUUCUUCUGCACAAAGUUUCUUCAUAUACUUUACUGUUAUUGAGUGGUUCGAUGAUACCAGAGUUUUGGGUAUCAAUACACUGGUGAUUGAGAUCAUUCUAUCCUGGGAGGACAUAUUCCAAAUCAAACCUCAAAUACUAGAGGGGAAUAAUUUCUUUAAGGGGGCACUGUGCAGUCAGUGGGCUUGAUCUUUUCCGUUCUGUCUUUUUCCAGAUUCUAGUAUGUUUUUCAGAUUUUAGUUGUUCUAAAUUAAUUUCUGUUCUUCUAUUUUUACUAGUUCAUUAAAACUUUGAUUACUUCGUGUUUCUGCAAAGUUUAUUGGAAUCAGAAAUUCUGUUUUAAACACAGAUUGACAACAAUUAUAACAAAUUGUUCGAUUUCAGCAGUCCCAUAAUGGAUCAAAAAGAUUUAUAUUGAAUGUCCUGCUCCUGCCUGAACUUUCCCAUCAACCAAACCAUACUCCAUUAAUGCAUUCUUUUAGUUUUGUAUAGGUCUUCGAUCAAUAUUGAUCUCGGAGGUUUUGGUACUUCAACUCGUCCAAUGUACUUUAUUUUUCUUUAAAUAAACACAAUGGGGGUCGAUGCCGAAUCUGUUAUGAAUAUGAGAAUCAAAAGUUACGCAUUGUUAUCAAUGUAACAGUAAAGCUAGUUACAAAAUGUUAGUUACAAAAGUUUGUUAUAAUGUUAGUUAAAGGUAACUCUAGUUAAUUUAGACUAACUAGCUUGUACAGUUAAGAUACACUAUAAAUAGAGUAGUGUAGGCAUUAUUUGUAUUGUAUCAGAUUAUCAUUCAAUACAGUGAAAAGUUCUUCUUCUUUGAUUGAAUCAUCUGCUCUAUAAUUCUUCAUGGUAUCAGAGCCAUGGAUGCUCUCCUGAUGUAUUCCGCAAAUUAGGUUGUUAAACUCUUCUGCUUGCAGUGCACACGAAAGGCUCUCCAACAGAGUCUGCAUUAUCUUAGAAGCAGUCCUGUUUUUACUUCGUUUGUUGCUCCUGAUUCAGUGAAGAUCUUCAUCAAUGACGAUAGGUGAAGGCUCCAAUCCUGACACUCUUACUCCUUCAGCUGGUGGUAGAGAAGCCAUAGUUGAUUCACAUCAUCCUUUGUUUCUUCAAGCGUGUGACACUCCAGGUAGUUCACUGGUCUCUACUCAAUUAAUUGGAUCUGAAAACUAUUCUUUGUGGAGCAGGUCUAUGAAGAUAGGUCUGCUAGGCAAAUGUAAAAUAGGAUUUGUGGAUGGAUCUAGUUCUAAAGAGAAGUUUCAAGCUUCCUUCCAUAAUAUGUGGGAGAAAUGUAAUGCAAUUGUCCUUUCAUGGAUCAUGAUUUCUGUUAGUCGAGAACUUCUCAGUGGGAUAGUUUAUGCUAAUAGUGCUCAACAAGUUUGGAAUGACCUGAAGGAAAGGUUUGAUAAGGUUGAUGGAUCACGUAUAUUCUAUCUACAUAAGGAGAUUGCUACACUCACUCAAGGAAUAUUGUUUGUUUCCAUCUAUUUCUCCAGGUUUAAAGAGCUUUGGAUGGAGUUUGAUUCUCUCAUGCCCUGUCCUGGGUGUGACUGUUUAGUUUCAAAGACUUAUGCAAUUCAUUUUGAGUAUCAAAGGCUUAUGCAGUUUCUCAUAGGUCUCAAUGAGUCUUACAACCAAUGUAGAAGCCAAAUUAUGAUGAUGGAUCAUGUUCCCAGUGUGAACAAAGCCUAUUCACUAGUGAUUGUAGAAGAGAGUCAGAGGAUCCUUGGUAAGGCAAAUACUGUUGUUGAGAUGCCUUCUAACCAUGGAUACAAGAGGCUCUAGCCUUCUUUAGUGGCAGUAAUCAUACCUACUCAGGCUCCAGAGGAUCGGGAUCUGGUGGUCCUGGUACUACUGGAUCUACUUCCAGACCUAAGAAGCCAUUUAACAGUUAUUGUUUUGUGAUUACUGUAAUUGGAAAGGUCACACAAGGGAUCACUGCUACAAACUUCAUGGUUAUCCAUCUGACUGGAAAGGUAAGAAGAAAAUCAGUCCUGGUUCAACUAGCACAACUAGUUUUGCUGCUGCUAGUUCUGGUCCUAGUAGCCUCUCAAGCAGAUCUCCAUCAGGUGUUAGCAAUACUGGUGUCUCUCAUGCAUUUAUGACUAACCUGCAGCAUCAACAGUUUCAACCUCAUGCAACUUCACAGCCACAACAUCCUCAUUUCUCCCACCAGCAGUACAUGCGGAUCCUGCAAUUGCUAGAUCAGGGAAAUGGGAAGACUACCGCUGAUGCUCUUGUGUCUACCUCAGGUACAUCAGGUUUGUUUCCUACUUCCAAGUGGAUAUUUGAUUCAGGAGCUUCCAAACAUAUGGUUCAUAGUCUGCGUAUGCUCAAUCACUAUACUACCUUGUCUGAGUCUCACGAAGGAAAAAUGUAUCUUCCUACUGGCAAUCUUGCACCAGUUAGUCAUAUUGGCUCAUCUCAGAUCUUAGGAGGGGCUGAGAUCACUAAUAUGCUUCAUGUUCCUACUUUUCAAUACAACUUAUUAUCUGUUCCUAGACUAACAAAGGAGUUGAAAUGCAGUGUUAUGUUCUAUCCUAAUUUCUGCAUUUUCCAGGACCUCUCCAAUGGAAAAGUGAGGGGGAUUGGCAAGUUGGAGAAUGACAUGUAUGUGAUUACUGCUGACUGUCAUUUGCAUUCUCAAGGAGCAGAAUUGAGUUCACCUAAAGAUCAAGCUAUUGCAGUUUCUAAGUCUUGUCUUGUACCUUCUUUACAUUCAUCUAGAAUAAGUCUAUCAUUGUGGCAUAAAUGCCUAGGUCAUGUACCUUUUAAUACUCUUAGACAAUUUAGUUCUUUGCAACAGUUGCAUCCUACUACUGAUGCACCUUAUACUGUAUGCCCUUUAGCUAAACAAUCAAGACUAUCUUUUCCUUUAAGUGCUACUUCUACUACUGCUUGCUUUCAACUUUUACACGCUGAUGUAUGGGGUCCCUAUAGAGUUCCAACUCAUGAUAAUAACAGGUAUUUUUUAACCUUAGUAGAUGACUACUCAAGGUAUACCUGGAUAGUUUUGCUUCCCUCCAAAUCUGAGGUCAUAGUUGCACUCAAAAAUUUUCUUAUUAUGGUUGCAAAUGUUUUCUCUUCCUUAGUCAAAAUAUUAACGACAGAUAAUGGCUGUGAGUUUUUUAAUUCCCAAAUGACUGUUCUCCUGGAGUCUCUAGGUAUUUUACACCAAAGUUCAUGCAUAUAUACCCCUCAACAAAAUGGAGUUGUUGAAAGGAAACAUAGACAUAUACUUAAUGUUGCUAGAGCCUUGAGGUUUCAAUCUAGCAUGCCUCUUAAAUUUUGGGGUGAGUGUGCUCUUACUAGUGUCUAUUUGAUCAACAGAUUGCCUUCAUCUAUUUUACACAACAAGACAUCUUAUGAGUUGCUUUAUCUUAGAUCUCUUUCUCUUGAUCAUCUUCGAGUCUUUGCGUGUCUUGCUUUUGCUUCUGAAGUCAGAAAGGUUGACAAGUUUACUCCCAGAGCUUUCCCUACUGUGUUCUUGGGGUAUUCUACAUUACAAAAAGGGUACAAAUUGUUUUCUCUUCAUACUUAAGAGUUCUUAGUGUCCAGAGAUGUAGUUUUCAAAGAGGACAUAUUUCUCUUUACUCAAACCACUUCCUCAUGUCCUCCUUUGUUUCCUAUCUUUCAGUUUACAGAGUCCUUUACUAAGUCCACUCCAGUUCCUCCCAUUGCUACUCUUUAUUCUUCUCUUUGUCCAGCUUCUAUAGUAUCUGAAUGUCCCUUUUCUCCUGCCUAUGCAUCUGAUAUGUCUGCAACUGUUCCCUUAAGAAGAUCCUCUAGAAAUUCCAAACCUCCAAUUUGGCUUCAUGACUAUGUUACUACUCAGCCUAAGUCCACUUGUCUUUAUCCUUUAUCCAAUCAUGUCAGCUAUCGCCAUUUGUAUCCACUUUAUGGCUUAGCCUUAGCUGCAUAUUCCAGCAUCCUUAAGCCUAAGUCUUCCAUAAGGCUGCUCUUAAUCCUUUGUGGGUCGUAGCUAUGCAAGCUAAGAUCAAAGCCUUGGAAGAGAAUCAUACCUGGUCUAUCACUGAUCUUCCUUCUGAUAAACAUCCAAUUGGCUGUAAAUGGGUGUUUAAGGUGAAAUAUCUUGCAUCUGGUGCUGUUGAAAGAUACUAGGCUAGACUUGUUGCAAAGGGGUUCAAUCAGAAAGAAGGCUUGGAUUAUUCUGAAACUUUCUCCCAUGUUGCUAAGAUGGUUACUGUGCGGUCUGUUCUAGCUGUGGCCUCUGCUAAACACUGGCUUGUGUUCCAAAUGGAUGUCCAUAAUGCAUUUCUCCAAGGUGACCUGGUUGAGGAUAUGUAUACGGUUGUUCCUCCAGGCUUUUGCAGACAGGUGGAGUCUGGUAAAGUCUGCAAAUUACACAAGUCACUAUAUGGUUUAAAGCAGACACCUAGGCAAUGGAAUUUUAAACUAAUAGAAGCAUUACUUCAGCUGGGAUUUGUUCAAAGCCACUAUGACUAUUCUCUAUUUACCAGAAGUGAAAAUAAAAAGUUGAUAAUAAUUCUUGUUUAUGUUGAUGACCUUCUGAUAACUAGAAGCUGCAAGAAGCUGAUUGACAGGACCGGGAAUGAUCUGCAACUUAAAUUCAAAAUGAAAGACCUAGGAGAAUUGAAGUUUUUCCUUGGAAUUGAAUUCGCCAGAUCAAAAGAAGGUUAUAUUAUGAGCCAACGUAAGUAUGCCUUGGAACUUGUCUCAGAAAUGGGUCUAAGUGGUGCCAAGCCAGUCAACACUCCACUGGAUCCAAACCUCAGACUAACCUCUAUUGAAUAUGACUCACAUGUACAAGAGGCAAACACUACAUCAAGUGACAAACCUUUGGAAGAUAUUGGUAGAUAUCAAAGCCUUGUAGGGAAACUGUUGUAUCUAACUAUGACCAGGGUAGAUAUCUCCUUUGCAGUACAAGUUCUAAGUCAAUAUAUGCAUGCACCCAAAGAGUCUCAUAUGGAAGCUACACUUAGAGUAGUCAAAUACAUCAAGUCAGCUCCAGGUUUGGGUUUGUUUAUGCCCUCACAAGAUUCUAAUCAAUUGACUGUUUACUGUGACUCUGAUUGGGGUACUUGCUUACAAACGAGAAGAUCUGUGACUGGAUACUUAGUGAAGUUUGGAAAUGCUCUUGUAUCUUGGAAGGCAAAGAAGCAAGAAACAAUUGCUAAAAGUUCUGCAGAAGCUGAGUUUAGGAGUAUGGCAUCUGCAGUAGCUGAAAUUACUUGGCUCAUUGGCAUACACAGUGAACUAGGAGUAACCAUCAAACAACCAGUUGAUCUAUUCUGUGACAGCAAGGCUGCAAUUCAGAUUGCAGCCAACCCUAUUUUUCAUGAGCGAACUAAGCAUUUUGAUAUUGAUUGCUAUUUUGUUAGAGAGAAACUGCUUAAAAAAAUGAUUCAGACACAUCAUGUAUCCACAAAAGAUCAGCUGGCAGAUCUGCUCACAAAAGGUUUAUGGAAAGCUCCACACUCACAUCUUAUGUCCAAGCUGGGAAUGAAAGACAUUUUUCAGCCAUCAGCUUGAGGAUGGGUGUUAUGAAUAUGAGAAUCAAAAGUUACGCAUUGUGAUCAAUGUAACAGUAAAGUUAGUUACAAAAGUUUGUUAUAAUGUUAGUUAAAGGUAACUCUAGUUAAGUUAGACUAACUAGCUUGUACAGUUAAGAUACACUAUAAAUAGAGUAGUGUAGGCAUUAUUUGUAUUGUAUUAGAUUAUCAUUCAACACACAGAAAAGUUCUUCUUUGAUUGAAUCCUCUGCUCUGUAAUUCUUCAGAAUCCCCUAUCACCACCGAAGGUGAAAGCCUGGAUGGAUGAUAUUAAAAUAAAAAUAAAAACGAGACCUUCAGCCUUUAGAACAAAAGAGAUUAUAAUGCAACUUAAUGUCAUCUAGUCCAAAUUUUGCACUAAGAGAAAUUCACUGCCGGUAAUAUAAUAAGAUAUAUGCUUUUGCUGAGAAAUAUUGGAAACAGAUUUUGUCAGCAUAAAAUGCACUUCUUGUUGGUUGUUAGGUAAUUAGACUUGCUUUCAACUUUCAAGCAUAACGAAUAGUUUAGUUCAACAUGUAUAGUAGAAAAAACAAUAGGCAAAAAAUGGUCUAAAUUUCAAAUGAUUGGUCGACGAAUAUAGAAAAGACUUAGAAUAGCAAUUCAUCUUCUGUAGGAAACAAGUACUGGUCUAUCUAUCAAGUUGGUAAUUUCAAAAAUCAUCAAUACUUCCAACCAAAACAAAUUGAAUUAGUUAAUUGUACUCCCAAAGUAAAAGGAUAUUACACUUUUAGUCACUAAGAGGUAGUUUGACCGGAGAUAUUAGAGAAAAUAAUAUUUGUAUUAGCUUUGAUACUACAUAAUUUAUUGUUUGGUAUACCUAUAUAAUUAAUUAUAUAGAGUGAUACAUUAUAUUCAGUAUUAUUAUAUAUUCACCAUGACAUUAACAAUAUAUACUAGUACUAUUCCUAUAUAUUCUAGUACAGUAUACUCCAAUUGGAUUACAUUUUUUAGAAAUUUAUACGAUAUAUAAUAUAUAUGUGUUAGUAUUUGAUGCAACAAACCAGACAAACGAUAAAUGAAAUAUCAGCAUGAACAUUACUAACCAUAUUAAGUAGUAUUCUUAUGUGGCAUUUCAAUCCCUAAAAGAUAAUAAUUACAUAUAAGUAUAUAACCAUUUAUAAAAGGCAAGACUUCGUUACACUACGACAAAGUGAUAUUUAGUGGGAAUCGAUUUUUCUCUUAGUAUUGCCACAAAAAAAAAUUGCGACAAUAUUUUGCGAUAAUUGAGUUAAUUCAAAGAUGCUACAGUUUUUCACGAUAUUUAUAUAGAAUGCUGAUAGUAAGUAUCAAAAAUUAUUAUUAUUAUUAAAUAUAUUAUAACAAUUAGAAUCUUAUUUUAAUCAAUCAAAUUUUAGUCAUUAAUUCUUGCAUAUGCCAUGUGUCUCACAUCCAAGCAAGAACUUGGGAAAAAUGAAGAAAAGAGAAAUAGAGAGUAACCGGAUCCAUUAUAAGGCAUAUUGUCAUUUGUCCGUAUUUAUAAGUUAAAUUUUAAAAAAAUUCAAACAACUGCCAGUGGCCAUAAAUGAAAAUGAUGCAUCCAGAAAAAUACGUCUGGACCUUCUGUAGUAAGGAAUGGUCUCUUCCAAGUCCAAUAAAAAAGACUGCAAAGUCCAUCCACUACUACUGUAACAUGAGGCUAAACUGCACUCUCAAUACAUAGAAAAAUUAACCAACAAUGCAUUAUCUAUCACACAUUCAUAUCCUGGAUGAGAUAAGAUUCACCAUCUUCCGACACGUGGCACUUCUAUUCUUGUCUAUUAAAAUAAAAGACACUUAGCUCCAAUUUCUUAUCUUUCAUGUGGCCAUUAAAUUUUGUAAUAUCAACAGCCACAUAAUCCAAUGGUCACCCUUCAUCUAAGAUGAGGUUUCCUUUGUUUCUAUCCGUUAGAUUAAAAAAAACGUCUAACACCUUAUCAUUAUAUAAAGGGAGUAAGCCACAGUGUAAUAAGCAUCUUAAAAAAAAAACAAGUUUCUUUGAAGUAAAAAAAAAAAAAACGUUUUAUAGCUAAGUAGUAACGUAAUGGCUUCCUCAAUUGUCUCCUCAGCAGCCGUUGCUACCCGUAGCAAUGUUGCUCAAGCUAGCAUGGUCGCACCCUUCACCGGACUCAAAUCCGCCGCGUCUUUCCCCGUUACUAAGAAGAACAACAACGUUGACAUUACUUCCCUUGCUAGCAACGGUGGACGUGUUAGAUGCAUGCAGGUUCAAAUAAUAAUUAUCAGUAUAUAUAUAUAAAAUUUAAAUUAACUAGUUGUCGUUUAUUUAUAAAAUAAAUGUGUUAAUGUAGGUGUGGCCACCAAUUAACAUGAAGAAAUACGAGACAUUGUCAUACCUUCCUGACUUGUCCGAUGAGCAAUUGCUCAAGGAAGUUGAGUACCUUUUGAAAAAUGGAUGGGUUCCUUGCUUGGAAUUCGAGACUGAGGUCAAUAUCUCCUACAUACUUUUACAUGUGUAAUUUAAUUUGUUGAAGGAGAAAAUAAAUGUAUGUUAUAUUGUUGUGUACAGCACGGAUUUGUGUACCGUGAGCACAACAGCUCACCAGGAUACUACGAUGGUAGAUACUGGACCAUGUGGAAGUUGCCUAUGUUUGGGUGCACUGACGCAACCCAGGUGUUGGCUGAGGUUCAAGAGGCCAAGAAUGCGUACCCACAGGCCUGGAUCCGUAUUAUCGGAUUCGACAACGUUCGUCAAGUGCAGUGCAUCAGUUUCAUUGCCUACAAGCCAGAAGGAUACUAAAUUUCAUCAAACCUAUAAUUAAUUACUCCUAUCGACAUGUUUUUUGCGUUUUGUACCGGUGUAUUUUCCUCGAUUCCGACCAAGUUAUGAGAAAUUAAUAAUGAUGAAUCUUUAAUUAUAUGUUUUUUUGUGGUGUGUAUGAGUUUUAUUAUCCAAACUAAAAAUCUCUCUUUAAAUAUGAAAACGACACAUUAACUACUCCUUUUAUCCUAACAACUUUAGCACAACGAUUAAAUAGCCACCGCAUGUGACAUUAAUUAUCUUAAAUGAAAAGAAUUGUAUCACAUUGAGACAUCGAUUCAAUAAUUAGUGAGAAUGAAAAAGACUUCAUUUUCUGCCUGGAAAAAUGCCGUAACUUAAGUAAGAUUUUUUUUUUAUUUCACAAAUUAGUGAAUUCAAAUCUUACACUUUUGAUUCAUCAAUGUAAAAAGAAUAAAUUAAAAAUCCUAUUAUUUGUAUUAUUUAUGUGAGGCACAAAAUAAAUAUCUUCGUAAGAGUAACCAACCUUCUAGGCUUAUCAUGAUCAGUUGGGCCCUGGAUGUUUACACUUGUGGCCACUGGCCAUGCUCAACAAGGACCGGUCAAUUAUUGUAUUUUGUUGUUAUCCUUUUGUCUUUUUUAUUGGUUUUUUUUUUUAAAGAGUUUGAAGUUUUAUGUAUCGAAUAGUUGAUAUGUUAAUAGUUAUUAAAUACAAAUUUAUAUAUAUAUUCUAAAUUAACGUAUAAUAUACAUAAAUGGUGUAUAAUUUUUUUAUAUUUGACUAACGGCUAAAAUUCAUUUAAAUUGAGCAAGUAAAUGUAUUAUGACCCCUAAAUUUUUUUAGCUCAAACACCAAUUUAGUGAUUUUUGCUUUAAAAAAACUGAAAAUUGUAUUGUUGGUGAUCAGUAGAAAGUGUUGAAGAAGAGAAAUCAUUGUAAGUUUGAAGAAGAGAAAAUACAUAAAACUCCCCCCUAAACUUGGCAGUACAACUUACUUUAGCACUUAAACUACACAGGCUUUUAAUAUCCCCAUUAACAUCUUUGAAGUGAAUUAAAUACAACUCUAAAUACUGACUCCUCCACAGCGAUAGCACUACUGGAGCAUGACCAUUCGCAAUACACUAACAUUAUAUCUGAAUGCAGGUCACUAAUGCAGCAGGGGAAUACCAAAACCACUCCACACAUUCAGGGAGUAGAACAAGGUGGCGGACAUACUGGCUAAAAUGGGUAGGACAAUACAAUCCAACAGCGGGAGGAUGCAGAUUUUGGAAGCCCCACCACAUUAUGCCUUCAAAGCAUGGGAAGCUGACAAGAAUGGGCUUUAUUUUGAUAGAAUGGUAGUAGUAACUAGUCCCAACGAGACAACGGAGAAUCCCCCUAUUUCAAACUAUGUAAUGAACAAUGAAGUCCGUGUGCUUCACCUUUAAGCUUUUUAUAUAAUUACUCUAUUUCUAUCAAAAACAAAUAAAUACAACCCUGAGAAUAGAAUACCACUCUCACCUGUCACAUCAUAACCAUGUAAGCACCACGUCAUUAAUUUUCAAUCUUUUUUUUGCUUAUUCACCUUUUCUCUUAACCAUUUUCUUAAAAUUUAUUACACUAAUCAAUUAAUUUAAAAUACAUUUUAAAAUCAAAAUUGCCCCAUCUUCUUCCACCCCUUCUCUUCUACCCCCCCCCCCCUACUCUUUC